CGACCCGGGUGCUGUUUGGCCUCGGUCCGCUCGGCUAUCGGCCCUGGCGCACCUUCCCCGGCGCCAGGUCCGACGGGCGGGCGGGGACCUGACCGCACCCGACAGGGAAC
rfam:Kutzneria albida DSM 43870, complete genome.